rnacentral:rRNA from 1 species
UCAGUUCAGAUUGCAGGCUGCAACUCGCCUGCAUGAAGUCGGAAUUGCUAGUAAUCGUAGGUCAGCAUACUACGGUGAAUACGUUCCCGGGCCUUGUACACACCGCCCGUCAAACCAUGAGAGUUGGCAACACCCGAAGUCGGUAGUCUAACCGCAAGGAGGACGCAGUCGAAGGUGGGAUUGAUGACUGGGGUGAAGUCGUAACAAGGUAAC